rnacentral:snRNA from 1 species
AUAAUUAUAACAACUAUUUUGCAUGGGCGAUCAAGAAGGUCCAUGGCCUAGGUUGGUGACCUCCAUUGCACUCAGGAGGGGUGUCCGCCUAAGGUCGGCCCAACUGGUCGAGCCUACGUCAUAAUUUGUAGUAGUGGUGGGCAAUGAUAGGAGACCCAG